UGGGGGAAAGUGAUUCUGAACAGAAGACAGCCACAGGAGUUUCUUUACACAGUUAAUCUGGCUUUAAAAGAGCAUUAUCCUGUAUAAACAUAUAUCCCCAGGUUUAACAACCCGAAUAUACAUUCAGUGGCUAUAAUUAUAUUGCCUCAUAUGCAAAAUCAGGUGAGUAUACAGAUGUUCUUUAUGUAUUCUGCUUUUCUACUAUUCAAAAUGUCUGUGAAUUUCAAUUGGAUAUUAAAAGACAUUGAAGGCCUUGAGCAUAUGGGAAUGGGUUAAGAAGUGUUGUCUUCAAAGUUGAUGUUAAUUUGACUUUGAAGUUAGGACAAACUAUUCUUUAACUCUUAGAAGAAGUAGCUAGGAAGGAGAAAGGUCUUUAAUCUCUUUUGACGGAGUUUACAUGAGAUCAUCUCAGGUUUUGCUGUUUUUAAAAGGAGUCUAAAAUCUUCUUUUUUCAUCUCUUAUCACUUUCAAAUUUAAUGAGUAUUUUUUUAAAUUCCUUUAUAUCAUCAAUGCACCAAAAGCAUUGCAUACAAUAGGACCUAAGGCAGUUCUGUGGAUCUACUCUCUCUCACUGAAGCAGAGCCCCUGGCAACUGUUUUUAUGGAAGCUGGGAGUUCACUUUAGCAGAGUUACCAUAAACUCCCUUUAUAAAAAAGCUGUCAAUACUGCUUCUUUUGAUCACAAGAGGAGCCCUUGGGAUUUGUUUUAACUUGGGCCUGGGGAGGCAGGGGCACCAGGGGGCACAUAGCAGAAUCAUAGGGCAGUCUCUCCAACUUGCUGCCUCCCUCAUCUCCAGAUUCUCCACAGCUCUCGUUCUGCAGGGGGGUUGUUCAGUCUUGAAAAGAAAAACCUGACCAACACAGAAGAACAUUGGGAACUUUGUGGAAACUUGAACUUGGA
rnacentral:lncRNA from 1 species